rnacentral:rRNA from 1 species
ACUCCUACGGGAGGCAGCAGUGGGGAAUUUUGGACAAUGGGGGAAACCCUGAUCCAGCAAUGCCGCGUGAGUGAAGAAGGCCUUCGGGUUGUAAACCGCUUUUGUCAGGGAAGAAAAGCCUUGGGUUAAUACCCUGGGGUGAUGACGGUACCUGAAGAAUAAGCACCGGCUAACUACGUGCCAGCAGCCGCGGUAAUAC